rnacentral:tRNA from 1 species
GUCUUUGUAGUAUAACACAAUACCCUGGUCUUGUAAACCAGAAAUGGAGAAUUCUCUCCCCAAGACA